rnacentral:rRNA from 1 species
UUCCGGUUGAUCCUGCCGGAGGUCACUGCUAUCGGGGUCCGAUUAAGCCAUGCGAGUCGAGAGGUAAGCCCUCGGCAUACUGCUCAGUAACACGUGGAUAACCUACCCUCGGGACGGGGAUAACUCCGGGAAACUGGGGAUAAUACCCGAUAGGUCAUAGGUACUGGAAUGUCCUGUGACCUAAAGUUCAGGCGCCCGAGGAUGGGUCUGCGGCCUAUCAGGUUGUAGUGGGUAUAAAGUACCUACUAGCCGACGACGGGUACGGGUUGUGAGAGCAAGAGCCCGGAGAUGGAUUCUGAGACACGAAUCCAGGCCCUACGGGGCGCAGCAGGCGCGAAACCUUUACACUGCGGGCAACCGCGAUAAGGGGACCCCGAGUGCCGCAUCCUAUGUUGGCUGUCCACCUGCCUAAAAAGCAGGUGUUAGCAAGGGCCGGGUAAGACCGGUGCCAGCCGCCGCGGUAACACCGGCGGCCCGAGUGGUGGCCACUCUUAUUGGGUCUAAAGGGUCCGUAGCCGGCCCAGUCAGUCCUUUGGGAAAUCCAGCGGCUUAACCGUUGGGCUUCUAGGGAUACUGCUGGGCUUGGGACCGGGAGAAGUGAGAGGUACUCUAGGGGUAGGAGUGAAAUCCUGUAAUCCUUGGGGGACCAUCGGUGGCGAAGGCGUCUCACUAGAACGGGUCCGACGGUGAGGGACGAAAGCUAGGGGCACGAACCGGAUUAGAUACCCGGGUAGUCCUAGCCGUAAACGAUGCUCGCUAGGUGUCACGUACGGUGCGGCCGUACGUGGUGCCGUAGGGAAGCCGUGAAGCGAGCCACCUGGGAAGUACGGCCGCAAGGCUGAAACUUAAAGGAAUUGGCGGGGGAGCACUACAACGGGUGGAGCCUGCGGUUUAAUUGGAUUCAACGCCGGA